rnacentral:rRNA from 1 species
GACGUAGGGCGCGAGCGUUGUCCGGAUUUAUUGGGCGUAAAGAGCUCGUAGGCGGUUUGUCGCGUCGACUGUGAAAACCUACAGCUUAACUGUGGGCUUGCAGUCGAUACGGGCAGGCUAGAGUUCGGUAGGGGAGACUGGAAUUCCUGGUGUAGCGGUGAAAUGCGCAGAUAUCAGGAGGAACACCGGUGGCGAAGGCGGGUCUCUGGGCCGAUACUGACGCUGAGGAGCGAAAGCGUGGGGAGCGAACAGG